UGCCAGCCGCCGCGGUAAUACGGAGGGUGCAAGCGUUAUCCGGAUUUAUUAGGUUUAAAGGGUCCGCAGGCGGGGAAAUAAGUCAGUGGUGAAAUACUGCAGCUUAACUGUAGCAAUGCCAUUGAUACUGUAUCUCUUGAGUUCAGAAGAAGUAGGCGGAAUAUGUAAUGUAGCGGUGAAAUGCUUAGAUAUUACAUAGAACACCGAUUGCGAAGGCAGCUUACUAUACUGUAACUGACGCUCAGGGACGAAAGCGUGGGGAGCGAACAGGAUUAGAUACCCUGGUAGUCCACGCCGUAAACGAUGAUUACUAGUUGUUGGCGAUAUACCGUCAGUGACUGAGCGAAAGCGUUAAGUAAUCCACCUGGGGAGUACGACCGCAAGGUUGAAACUCAAAGGAAUUGGCGG
rnacentral:rRNA from 1 species